rnacentral:rRNA from 1 species
AAUUUAAUCAACAUUAGUUUGAAAAAACAAAAAGUGAAAUUAGGUUGUCUUUUAUAAACAAAAAUUAUUGAUAUAAACUGAAGCUAGAAAACUUUUAGAUCUAAACUAGGAUUAGAUACCCUACUAUACUAAAGCUUUAUAGCACAACCUGAGUAUUAAUAGAUAUUGUCUUUAAAUUCAAAGAAUUUGGCGGUAAUUUAGUCUUGUCGGAGGAACCUGUUUUUUAAUCGAUACACCACGAAAAAUCUUGCUUUCUUUUGUUAACCAGCUUGUAUACCGUCAUUAUCAGAUAAUUUUAAAAGAAAUAUUAUUUUGCUUUACAAAGUUAUUAAAAUUAGAUCAAGGUGCAGCCGAUAAGUAAGUCAAAAUGGGUUACAAUAAUUUAAAAUUAUACGGAGCAAGUCUUUAAAAAGAGUUGUAAAGGAGGAUUCGAUUGUAAUAGCGGUUUAGCAUGCCGUGGAGAUAAAAGCUCUAAAUUAUGUACAUAUCGCCCGUCGCUUUCACUCAUAGGU